rnacentral:miRNA from 1 species
CUCACUACUAGCAGAACUCAG